CGGGUGAGUAAUGCUGGGAAACUGCCUGAUGGAGGGGGAUAACUGCUGGAAACGGUAGCUAAUACCGCAUAACGUCGCAAGACCAAAGAGGGGGACCUUCGGGCCUCUUGCCAUCGGAUGUGCCCAGAUGGGAUUAGCUAGUAGGUGGGGUAACGGCUCACCUAGGCGACGAUCCCUAGCUGGUCUGAGAGGAUGACCAGCCACACUGGAACUGAGACACGGUCCAG
rnacentral:rRNA from 1 species